AUUGAACGCUGGCGGCAGGCCUAACACAUGCAAGUCGAGCGGAUGAGUGGAGCUUGCUCCAUGAUUCAGCGGCGGACGGGUGAGUAAUGCCUAGGAAUCUGCCUGGUAGUGGGGGACAACGUUUCGAAAGGAACGCUAAUACCGCAUACGUCCUACGGGAGAAAGCAGGGGACCUUCGGGCCUUGCGCUAUCAGAUGAGCCUAGGUCGGAUUAGCUAGUAGGUGAGGUAAAGGCUCACCUAGGCGACGAUCCGUAACUGGUCUGAGAGGAUGAUCAGUCACACUGGAACUGAGACACGGUCCAGACUCCUACGGGAGGCAGCAGUGGGGAAUAGUGGACAAUGGGCGAAAGCCUGAUUCAGCCAUGCCGCGUGUGUGAAGAAGGUCUUCGGAUUGUAAAGCACUUUAAGUUGGGAGGAAGGGCAGUAAGCUAAUACCUUGCUGUUUUGACGUUACCAACAGAAUAAGCACCGGCUAACUUCGUGCCAGCCGCCGCAGUAAAAC
rnacentral:rRNA from 1 species